rnacentral:tRNA from 1 species
GUGGUAUUAGCUCAACCGGUUAGAGCGUCUGCCUGUGGAGCAGAAGGUUGGCGGUUCGACUCCGCUAUACCACCCCA